rnacentral:rRNA from 1 species
GACGGGGGGUCCAAGCGUUGUUCGGAAUCAUUGGGCGUAAAGCGGGCGUAGGUGGCUUUGCAAGUCAGGAGUGAAAGCCCUGGGCUCAACCCAGGAAGUGCUCUUGAUACUGCUUAGCUUGAAUGUGGGAGAGGGUAGUAGAAUUCCAGGUGUAGUGGUGAAAUACGUAGAUAUCUGGAGGAAUACCGGUGGCGAAGGCGGCAUCCUGGACCAAUUCUGACGCUGAGGAGCGAAAGCCAGGGGAGCAAACGGG